rnacentral:pre_miRNA from 1 species
GACCUUAUGGUUGAUCUCCUACCGACUAGCGGAUAAGAGAUCACCAUGGGGUACAA